GACGUAGGUGGCGAACGUUAUCCGGAUUUAUUGGGCGUAAAGGGUGCGUAGGUGGUCGGGUAAGUCUGAUGUGAAAUCUCUGGGCUCAACCCAGAAAUGGCAUUGGAUACUAUUCGGCUAGAGGAGUGGAGGGGGGACUGGAAUACUUGGUGUAGCAGUGAAAUGCGUAGAUAUCAAGUGGAACACCAGUGGCGAAGGCGAGUCCCUGGACACUUCCUGACACUGAGGCACGAAAGCUAGGGGAGCAAACAGG
rnacentral:rRNA from 1 species